CUUGGGGAUCCACUGCCAGUCCAUGUUUUUGCUCCUUCCCAGCUACCAGUGGCAGGGAGGGAGCAAAAACAUGGACUGCUCCUGGUCCCCGAGGACCAGAUUGGGAAAUGCUGUCCUUCGAGGUAGAGCUCUUUCUGGAACCGGUUGAAGUCUGACUGGUUACACAUUCUUCUGACUGACAGGACCGCAGACAACACUUGGAAACACUCGAGUCGCAGACGAGCACAACCAGCCGGAGUCUGAGCGCAGGCGUGAGAUGUCUACCAUCACAGCGAUGACGCUCAAUCAGCAUCCAAAGAGCGGGCUCCCCUCUGGGUCCUGUGGUUCUGAUUCUGCACAGUCGGAUCCAUUUCAGUAGCAGGUGACUCAGAGCGACAUGGUUUCCUUGUGACCACCCCCCCCCCCAGCCAACUGAGAAUGGAAAAGAGGGAGCUCGAAGUUGUAGUUCUCCAGCGUGGUGGAGCCGCGGGAGCCCAGGCCCCCGUAGGAGCAGGAGCAGUAGAGGAGGAGGCCGGCGCAGACGGCGCCCAGCAGCACGCCCAGCGAGCUCAUCACGAUGAUGUGGGCCAAACAGAGAGACCAGAUGUGGGAAAGGACCCCGCAUAAUGGCGACCGCAAAUGCAUUCACUGUUGCAUAAUGGGAUUGUUCCUGGGUGCCCCUCGAACCCUCAUCUCGCCUUGGAAAAUCUCCACCCGCACUCUUAGUGGGAACCGUUUCACUUGUGUCUGCUUCCCUCCAUUUUGGAGUUCGGUCAGAAAACAACAACCCCCCUCCCCUCAAACACCCCAGUCCCUGGUGCCGAUGCGGCUCCAAACGGAGCGGAUAAACGCGGACUCACUCGCGCAGACCGUAUCUCCGUCUCCGGCGGAAGUGGCAGAGAGCUCCCGUCACCGACGGCUCGCCUGGGCCGCGCCGCCUUAAGCACAUUUCUCGUUAUCGGGCCCAAACUAAUAAAAACGUCCCAGGCAUCUGUUUAUCGUUAAUUUUGCUCUGGCAACUCAUAAUAUAUGUGUCAUCCAGUGACGGGAAGCCAGCAGCAGCAUUUCAUUAUUUUCUUAAAGAAAGAGUGUGUGCCAGGCGCAGUAAUGAAAAGCCGGGUGAUGAGCAGAUUCAGCCUUCCUGCUGUAAUGACUUUUUUCCAUACAUUCCCUUCAUCCUCCGGACAAAGGUUUCCGUAUGAGACGGCAGCGACCUCACAGGUGGGUGAUUCUCGCAUUUACCGUCUGAAAGAAUCUAAUACGGCAAAAGAAAAGGAGAUCGCUCGCGAAGUGUAAGCACGUCUGCCCGGGCCCACCCCGUCGGAACGAAUGGGAACCAGUACCGAUCUGUGGCCCGUUACGCCACCCCGGGGAAAGGUGCAGGCCCCGAAACUCAGUGGUGGAAUUGAUCUCCAGGUUGAAGUCUCACAACAGGAGCGUCUGUCGUACCCUGAGCCAUGCUAACCUUAGGAAAUCUGACCUCAGCGACACACGGCGAUUUGGGCGGAGCUUGGGGUGGAGGGGCGUCUCACCUGCUUCGGUGUGACCAAUGACGAAAGGCCGCUCCUUCUCUAUGUAUACGGGCCUCCGACCUACAAGAAAGAAGAGAGGGGUGAUGCUUUCAGUGUUUCAAAGCGGGGGGGACUUAAGCUCGCGCUCAGGACACACCCUGAUAUUUUUCUCUCUCGCCUCAAGCUGCUCCACUGCACGGGGUCCCCCGUUACCUAACGACCUUGAGCCGAAGCAUAGCCGCGGAACACUCCGGAACGGCGCUCUGCAUGAAGCCACAUUACACACCAUCAGACACGCUCAUUCUGUCACUCGCCCCAUGGCCCCGAGUCAUUAGACCUCCGAAGGGUUUUAGCGUAAUAAUCACAAAGGAGGCAUCGCAGACGUGCGUGGGAAUGAGAGUGAUAUUGGGACUAAUGGCCAGGGGUGCGUUACGCUCACGGACCGACAGCGAGCGCCAUCUAAGAUAAGGGGGGCGCCUGGCAGCACAUGUUCAAAGGGAGAAAUGAGCCUGUUCUCUCUGCAUCAAAGGGAAGGGAACCACCGUCUUUAAACAGCUUUUAGACUCCUCUCAUUUUCAGUCCCGGACCAACUUUAAAGACGUAUCAUCGACUGCAGGGUUAUGGCAGGGAUUAGUCUGUCUCAUGCUGGAAGACAGAGCAGAGUGGAGGCAGACAGCACGGACACACACGCCAGCAUUUGGAAAAAUAGCGUUUUAUUAUUACAUUCCACACAACGUUUCUCAUAACAUUGAUUUCCACAGGCUAAAAUACGUCUCAUUAAUUUUUCUGUCUUCUAAACGGGCAAAGUGGAGGUACACAGCAUGAACGAUGCAUGCUCAAAGUGUCCGACGAUCACAGUUGAAAAUCCUACAUUCACAAAAGAGGCAGAAAGUACAUUUGGGAGAAACACGCAUCUGCCAUUCAGGUCUCAAUCACGGCCAAUCCGGAUCCUGCCCUGAUCCCACCCCAAUCCCAAGCAAACAAAUGCAGAUCUACUGGACAUUUUUCAAGUCAGGAUCUCUGGAUGAAAGAGGAUAAGAAAUAAAUAAAUAAAAAAAACAA